AGAUUUCAUUAGUGUCAAGUUCAGAUCCAUACAGUAUGACAUUGGUCAAAGGAGUUUAGGGAAAUAUAUUUUAGAGGCUUUCGUUAUUAGAGACGAGGUUUGGAAUAUAAUGAACAGCUGUCACUGUAGUCUCCAGAAGAAUAUGUGGUGCAGAGGAAACCAAAGUUCCAAGCAAGCAAAGGAAAUCACUGCACAAGUAACUAUGGAAUGCCUAUGAGCCUGCUCAUUUCUCCAAAAUGUAGUGAGUUUCAGAAAGCAAGUAGAUCUACUGGAAGGACUGGGAAAUCAAAAGCAAAUGAACAGCACUUCAUGUCAACAGAUGUUACUAGAAUUUUGUAAUGGGCAAAUGUGCUCCAUGCCAACCUAAAAAACGAGCACUGCCAAGAUUCGCUGAGAGGAAAACUACAAUCAAGUGAAGGUCCACACAAUUUUAAAGUUUGGCAACGCUACCCGCAUGCAUUCAAACUAAAUUUCAGAUAACUGUAUUAAGAAAAAUAGUGCUUUUGCCAUGACCUAUCUAUGGAGAUUUGUUGCUUUGUUCCACUGACAAUUCUGAAUUUUACAACCAUUUUGUAAAAUGUAUCAGAUACAUGAAUAAUGGGUUUAGAAAGUCAUAAAAUUAUAUUUACUUUGCUUAGCCAAAAUUUUAAUUCAUCCCAUGUAUUUUACAGUGUCCAGAAAGAUUUUUGAUAUACUUUCAUACUCUUUCAUUAAAGUUAAACAUGCCUAAGCCUAAGAACAAUUAAAGUUAGUUAGGUUCCCUAGAAGCGUCGGUGCAGUUUAAAUUAAAAGGAGCCCUUGACUUGAUAUUAAAAGAGCUGACUUCCAGACCUGGAUGUGUUCAAAUACGCAGUGUGAGCUCAAGCAAGGCUUAAUCUUGACUUCAUUCCCUCUUCUAUAAAGUGAGGUGGAUUUGACCGGCUGAUUUUGUAGGUUCAUUCCUACUUGUACUUCUCUUUGGUACCACAUUAUGUAUAGUCAUUUGUAUACUUGUCAACCACCCCCCCCCCCUUGUAGGACAUAAGCUCUGUCCUUGAAAGUAAGAAAUACGUCAGUCAUUUUCUCUCCUGCAAAUUAGAUAGCAAAGGAAACCAACACAUAGCAGAUGGGAGCGCAGGAAAUGUUUGUGGAAACCAAAAUGGGGCAGAGGAGUACUGUCUCGUUCUAGAGACAGACAUACAUUUCUCUGAACUGAAGCACUGUGGUGACUGCCACUUCCAUCUCAUCAGUGUUGGAAUGAAAGGCGGCCAGUAGAAAAAAGUAUAAGACGUCAGAGCUUAAAAAAAUGUACAUG